GUGUGAUGCGAUGAUGACAAACAUCUAUACCCAGCUCUUUGAGAUCUUUUGUAGGUCCGGGAAAUACAUAUGUUCGUUUUGUCUGAGUAUAAAU
rnacentral:snoRNA from 1 species